rnacentral:rRNA from 1 species
UACGAAGGGGGCUAGCGUUGCUCGGAAUUACUGGGCGUAAAGGGCGCGUAGGCGGCCGCCUAAGUCAGACGUGAAAUCCCUCGGCUCAACCGGGGAACUGCGUCUGAUACUGGGUGGCUUGAAUUCGGGAGAGGGAUGCGGAAUUCCAGGUGUAGCGGUGAAAUGCGUAGAUAUCUGGAGGAACACCGGUGGCGAAGGCGGCAUUCUGGACCGACAUUGACGCUGAGGAGCGAAAGCCAGGGGAGCAAACGGG